rnacentral:lncRNA from 1 species
UGAAUUAAGGCAGAGGUAAUUGGAAAUUUGGUUGAAAUUAUCCACUAUUUGCUUUAUACGGUAUAUUAAAUAUUUACAAAUAAUUUUCUAUAGGAUCAACAAUGAUCUUCCUGGACAAUCACCUCCAUGAAUCAAAAGAAGAUGAAUAAUGGAGUCGUGAAGCAAAAGUGAAGUCUUAGAAUAAUAGGAUAAUGCGUUACUUAAGCUAGGUUAAGCUACUUUUGAACCGUGUUACUUCACUUUGCUUAAUUUUGGGUGUACGGUGCCGUGGACAAUG